ACGUUUUGCUACACUUUGUCGGCGCUGAACUCGCCCCUGAUAUGUUGCCGCUGCUCAACCUUGCUUCCAACGUUGUCCAGUGGUCGCUUACGGUAUUGUUGCAAAUAAAUUCCCACGUGGCCCAAAACGCAUUUUCCCUUUACAACUGUUUACAGGACACCUCAAUCUCUCAACAAGGAAAUGGGGGGUUCGCGCAUCUGUCAACAAAGAGACGGUUCCCCCACUCAGAGUCUCGACUCCCACCGUUUCCCGCGCAUCUUCUCGCCAGCAGACACCAGUCUCCUCUUCACUCCUGCAUCCAUCAGCUACGGAUCCGAUUCCUACCCUCACCCCUUCAUCCCUCAUCUGUCUUCCCCUCAACCCCUCAUUCAAUACACCUCGACCCUUACCCCUCAUCCCUCGACCCUCUUCCCCAUCCCUGCAUCCCUCAGUCCUCCCUCUGGACCCUGUUCUUAUCAUAUAAUCCCAUCUCAGCUCCAUUACAAGCAAUAAACCAACUCAAAUCUACAUCUAUAUGAAGGUGUAGUCUUUUUUUAGUGAAUAGAGAUGUGGAUGUGGGGGGCUCACACCUGAUCUGUGGCUGUCUGUGAUGGGAACUGGGACUUGGGCCAUCUAUAGUGAACUCAAGUUUAAGGACACUAUAACAUGCUGACAUUCUUAGUAUUUACUUUUUGACCUAACCGACAUGGUCUAUUAUGUACAUGAUUUGCUGAUAUAUUUUCCAAAUUAUAAUACAAUAUAGGAGACAACCAGCAAAAAAAUUAAUUUACUUAUUGGCUUACUUAAUCUAGUUUUAUAUUAAUGUAAUAUUUUGUGAUCACAUUUGAGAGAUACAGACUACGAAUAGUAUGCUUGAAUAUGUGGCAGGUUAUCUAAUGAGGAGAUGAGGAAAUGUUAUUACAUCACAAACAAAUACUGGUGUAUGUUCACUUCUUUACCUUUACCUAAGGAAGACCAUCUGUAAUAAUUAGUCAUAACCAAUGACUACUGUUUUCAAGUAAAUAUGUUUGUAUAACUCAAGUAUAUUAUAUAUAAUAUUUAUUUAUACUUCUACAUGAGUACAGUUUUUGGCCACUCCACUCACCUCAUUUGCAUCAUUCAUCUUAUUUUACUGAUCAGAUAUUUUGUCUGCUACAAUUUGCU